GUCCUUUUGAUUUUUAUAUAAGGUCUGACCUGCCCUAUGAAUAUUUAAAUGGCCGCGGUAUACUAACCGUGCAAAGGUAGCAUAGUCAUUUGUCUCUUAAUUGGAGGCUUGAAUGAAGGGUUGGACGAGAUAUAGGCUUUCUUUGUUAUAUUUUAUUGAAUUUGACUUUUGAGUUAAAAGGCUUAAAUUUUUUUAUAGGACGAGAAGACCCUAUAGAAUUUUAUAUAUUUGUAUAAUUGAUUUAUUUAUUUAUUAUUUAAUUUCUUGUUUAAAUAUAUUUUGUUGGGGCGAUGGGAAGAUUUUAAUAACUCUUUUUUGUUUUGAUCAUUGAUUUAUGUUUUAUUCUGAUCCUUUUUUAGAGAUUAUAAGAUUAAAUUACCUUAGGGAUAACAGCGUAAUUCUUUUGGAGAGUUCUUAUCGAUAAAAGAGUUUGCGA
rnacentral:rRNA from 1 species